rnacentral:rRNA from 1 species
AGAGUUUGAUCAUGGCUCAGGAUGAACGCUGGCGGCGUGCCUAACACAUGCAAGUCGAACGAAGCGCUUGAUUGGAUUUCCUUCGGGGAUGAAGAGCUUGCGACUGAGUGGCGGACGGGUGAGUAACGCGUGGGCAACCUGCCUCAUACAGGGGGAUAACAGCCGGAAACGGCUGCUAAUACCGCAUAAGCGCACAGGACCGCAUGGUCCGGUGUGAAAAACUCAGGUGGUAUGAGAUGGGCCCGCGUCUGAUUAGCCAGUUGGCGGGGUAGAGGCCCACCAAAGCGACGAUCAGUAGCCGACCUGAGAGGGUGACCGGCCACAUUGGGACUGAGACACGGCCCAAACUCCUACGGGAGGCAGCAGUGGGGAAUAUUGCACAAUGGGGGAAACCCUGAUGCAGCGACGCCGCGUGAGCGAAGAAGUAUUUCGGUAUGUAAAGCUCUAUCAGCAGGGAAGAAAAAAUGACGGUACCUGACUAAGAAGCACCGGCUAAAUACGUGCCAGCAGCCGCGGUAAUACGUAUGGUGCAAGCGUUAUCCGGAUUUACUGGGUGUAAAGGGAGCGCAGGCGGUGCGGCAAGUCUGAUGUG